CCCUUCGCGCGGUACUCGAGUGGCGAACGGGUGAGUAACACGUGGGUGAUCUGCCCUGCACUUUGGGAUAAGCCUGGGAAACUGGGUCUAAUACCGAAUACACCCUGCUGGUCGCAUGGCCUGGUGGGGGAAAGCUUUUGCGGUGUGGGAUGGGCCCGCGGCCUAUCAGCUUGUUGGUGAGGUUACGGCUCACCAAGGCGACGACGGGUAGCCGGCCUGAGAGGGUGACCGGCCACACUGGGACUGAGAUACGGCCCAGACUCCUACGGGAGGCAGCAGUGGGGAAUAUUGCACAAUGGGCGCAAGCCUGAUGCAGCGACGCCGCGUGAGGGAUGACGGCCUUCGGGUUGUAAACCUCUUUCGCCAGGGACGAAGCGCAAGUGACGGUACCUGGAGAAGAAGGACCGGCCAACUACGUGCCAGCAGCCGCGGUAAUACGUAGGGUCCGAGCGUUGUCCGGAAUUACUGGGCGUAAAGAGCUCGUAGGUGGUUUGUCGCGUUGUUCGUGAAAACUCACAGCUCAACUGUGGGCGUGCGGGCGAUACGGGCAGACUAGAGUACUGCAGGGGAGACUGGAAUUCCUGGUGUAGCGGUGGAAUGCGCAGAUAUCAGGAGGAACACCGGUGGCGAAGGCGGGUCUCUGGGCAGUAACUGACGCUGAGGAGCGAAAGCGUGGGGAGCGAACAGGAUUAGAUACCCUGGUAGUCCACGCCGUAAACGGUGGGUACUAGGUGUGGGUUUCCUUCCUUGGGAUCCGUGCCGUAGCUAACGCAUUAAGUACCCCGCCUGGGGAGUACGGCCGCAAGGCUAAAACUCAAAGAAAUUGACGGGGGCCCGCACAAGCGGCGGAGCAUGUGGAUUAAUUCGAUGCAACGCGAAGAACCUUACCUGGGUUUGACAUGCACAGGACGCUGGUAGAGAUAUCAGUUCCCUUGUGGCCUGUGUGCAGGUGGUGCAUGGCUGUCGUCAGCUCGUGUCGUGAGAUGUUGGGUUAAGUCCCGCAACGAGCGCAACCCUUAUCUUAUGUUGCCAGCGCGUAAUGGCGGGGACUCGUGAGAGACUGCCGGGGUCAACUCGGAGGAAGGUGGGGAUGACGUCAAGUCAUCAUGCCCCUUAUGUCCAGGGCUUCACACAUGCUACAAUGGCCGGUACAAAGGGCUGCGAUGCCGUGAGGUGGAGCGAAUCCUUGUAAAGCCGGUCUCAGUUCGGAUCCGGGUCUGCAACUCGCCCCCGUGAAGUCGGAGUCGCUAGUAAUCGCAGAUCAGCAACGCUGCGGUGAAUACGUUCCCGGGCCUUGUACACACCGCCCGUCACGUCAUGAAAGUCGGUAACACC
rnacentral:rRNA from 1 species